AUGGAGUCCAAUCCAGAUUCAAUAAAACGGGGAGUGGGGAGAACCAUUUUAAUGAUUCAGAUUGUCCACACUCUGCAGAACCAUCAAUCAGAUCAGAGCUCGGCACGCCUCGUUCCAGACGUCCAGACCUCGCACUCUAUAAAUCCUUUCUGCCCUUGCCCCAGAGUUGCUGACUAUAUGUAUUUUGGGCCCCGGCUUUAAUUCCCUCAUCCUUGGCUGGUGACAUGAAGAUUUGUAACUGAUAGAAUGUGUUUUUAAUGUAUUUCCUGCAGGUUGCUAUUA
rnacentral:lncRNA from 1 species